AUGAAGUGCUUGCACUUCUGACGUUAGCGGCGAACGGGUGAGUAACACGUAAGGAAUCUACCUAUAAGCGGGGGAUAACAUUCGGAAACGGGUGCUAAUACCGCAUAAUAUCUUCUUCCGCAUGGAAGAAGAUUGAAAGACGGCUCUGCUGUCACUUAUAGAUGACCUUGCGGUGCAUUAGUUAGUUGGUGGGGUAACGGCCUACCAAGACGAUGAUGCAUAGCCGACCUGAGAGGGUGAUCGGCCACAUUGGGACUGAGACACGGCCCAAACUCCUACGGGAGGCAGCAGUAGGGAAUCUUCCGCAAUGGGCGAAAGCCUGACGGAGCAAUGCCGCGUGAGUGAAGAAGGCCUUCGGGUCGUAAAACUCUGUUAUAAGAGAAGAACAAAUUGUAGAGUAACUGCUACAGUCUUGACGGUAUCUUAUCAGAAAGCCACGGCUAACUACGUGCCAGCAGCCGCGGUAAUACGUAGGUGGCAAGCGUUGUCCGGAUUUAUUGGGCGUAAAGGGAGCGCAGGUGGUUUCUUAAGUCUGAUGUGAAAGCCCACGGCUUA
rnacentral:rRNA from 1 species